AGAGAAAAUACACUCAACUACACAUAGUGGAUGAAGCAGCUGAGGCAGAGGGAGAGGAAAACUAAUGUGUCCUGCCCUUCUAACCAAGUCUAAUAAUUUCAUUUGGGAGAAAGAAAGAAUCCUUAUAUAUUGCCAUAAAAUGGAGACAAAGUAAUAAUUCGAUAUAAUCUAAGGGAAGAGUUAUUAGCAUAUAAAGCUGGUCCAGAAUCAUUUAUUGAAGCACACCAAAAAUGAGAGGUUGCAAUCAGCGAUAAACUGUGUCUUUCUGGAUUUAGCAAACAGUAUAGUGCAGAGGUUAGGAACACAACAGUCUUCUGUAUCAGAUUGCUCCCAGGUUUUAAUCCCAAUAUGAUUAUUUUCAAUAGGCACAUUAUGUAAUCUUUGUCUGCCUCACUUUCCCAGAGAAUUUAAUGGAGAAAAAUGCAACCACACGUGGUUAUGGUAAAAAUGAACUGGGUUACUUUAUAUAAAACCCCUAGCAGAAUUCCUAGCUUAGUGCAAGUGCUCACACAGCUGUAGAAGAAGCAACUGUUGGAAGUCAUCACUGAACACGAAGAGUUUUUUUAAUGGAUGAGGGAAACGGUUAUCAGUAGGAGCUCUACCUGUGACAGGUGCUUUAUAUUUAGUAUGUCUCUAACUCUAGACAAGCACAUCCACACACCUCAAGCUUACAGUUAAAGAAUGGGCAUUUUGCCCACUUUUAGCAAGGUAUUAAAUAAGUUAAAGCAUAUACAAAGGGCUCCCAAGAGCUCCUGACACACAGUACCUAUUCAGUAAGUGUUAGCGCAGAGUGAAGAAAAAUUAGAACACGUUCUGCUGGCCAUGAGAGCACAUUAUACAUCAUAGGGUCAUUACAAAUUAGCCGUGUUUUGUAUUUGGCUUAUAAACCAUGUGCUAAGAAUAGCAAAUAUCUAUACACAAGUGGAAGCUCCUGAGUAAAAUGUAAGGCCCUUUAAGUUUUCUUUAAUAAUCAGAGUGAAGAAAGGCAGCAGGAAAGACACAUCUACUGCUCAGCCGAAAGCAGCCCUGACACGCCAUUUCCUGGGACUGGUACUGCCAGCAUGUGAUGGAUAAAUGGUCUGCUCUCCAUCUGAGAGGCAAGCCUUCUCUUACUGGAGCCCUGGCAUUUUCUUCAAGAGGACUGCCAAUUGUCUUAAUGUUCCUACGACGUGCGUAAAUGACUGAGGUUUCAGAUUAGAAGGCAAGAGCCGUCACCUCCUGCCCUGUCUUCUUCCUAGGGAAGGUUCCUGAAUCUUCUGGACAGAGCUGCUCUUAAGAAAGCCCUCCCAACAUGAAAUAUAUUAUAAAAGAUACAUAGCAUUCCAUCUACAAGAUACUGUUUGGUUCUUGGCCAUAACAAAUAGUGGUCCUUAAGGAGAAGGAUGCCACAGCUCCCUUGCCAUAAGGAGCCUCUUGAUGAACUCAUUUUUAUAAGUUUAUGCCCAAAUGUCCCAAAAUGAAUCAUUGGCAUUUAGAAGCUUUGCCCCCAUUUGUCUUAAAAGCCAAACCGAACCAAACCAACAACUUUGCUAGAGCAGAAGUCAUCUAUGAUCUUGUAGGAAAUGAAAGCAGUAUUAAAUCCAUUCAGCUUCCAGCUAAAAGAAGACUCCAGAGCUCAGGAAGGAGUGUUGUCAAAGACGGUGCAAUGAAAGACUAUGUCAGGGGCACUUGGGUGGCUCAGUCAGUUAAGCAUCUGCC